UUCAGGUCUAGUCUGAGCUUCACACAUUGUCACAUGACCCACACAGCUGCAUUCAAUUAGUAAUCUACUCUGUAUUUAAUCUCCAGUACUCACUUCAGUCCUCUGCCAGAUUGUCGCGUGAUUUCACCACUUUCCAGCAUUACUCUGAUUGACCCAGUGAUAGAACCCUGAACCGACCUUGUUUGUUUUUGAGCCUGCCUGACCCCUGCCUGUACCGUCGCCUGUUUUGUCCGCCUGGUUACCUUGCCGUACAUGUGGGUCCGCCAUAUCAGGAAGCCUGACAGUGUGAGAGAGAGAAGACCGAUAGGUGGGAAGAUUGCAGUGAUCGUAAACAACGCCAACAGAGGAAAACAUGGGUGGUCCUUCAUCGCCCUUGUGCUUAAAUCGAUGACUUGCACGAUUUCACGUUGUUCAUUUCCACUUUUAAAACACACUGCAUGUGGGAAUAAAGACUUAAUAAACACCUUUGCCCAAAGAAUGAUAAAUUCUUUACCCAA